CGUUAUCAAUAUUUUGGUUUCAUUUUCAUCAUUUUUAAAAAUUUGAAAAAAGAAUUAUUGAAUAACAGUUCGAAUAGGUGAAUGCAUCAAUUAAUGAUUUUUCAAUGCAUUUUUAGCGAUGGAUAAUUUAAUCGACAGUCAUUACCUACAACUACCAUCUCAAGGAAACAUCUACUUAUCUGCAAGACUCCAAAAAGCUGAUGGAUCGAAUAGAAUUAUUGUGGGUUGUUUGAGAAGAAAAGUCUUCGUUGUAGAAUACCGAUGUAAUGAAGAGUUUUUAGAACCUAUUACGACAGAGGUUUACUUUGCUUACAUAUCCAAUGGUGCAGAAAUCACAUCUAUCGAUGUAUUCAAUAGAUCGAAAACUAUGGACGAUUUUGUCAUUGGAAUUGUCAUCAUGAGAAAUACUGAAACUGGCACCAGCGCUCAUCUGAAUUUAUAUUGUGAAUAUGAUCUCGAACCCGAUGUAGAACUUAGUUUAGAAACCAUUGGACAGCAUUGUGAAAGUCUAAUGUUGGAUUAUAUUCCUUAUGGAUUACAUCAUACUCAAAUAUCACCUCAUCAAGUGAACGGAUCUUACGAAAAUCUUUGGUUGUUACCUGGAAGUGAUAAUAAAAUCCAUGCUUAUCGAGGUCGUUACCAUGAUCGAAACUUUGUUGAAAUAUCUGUUGGCGAUUUUUUUGUCGAAUUCGAAGACGUCCCUGCAAUUGUGAUGUGUAUCAAAGUUCUCUAUUACAAUAAUUACCACCAUCGAAUUUCUAGUCUUGGAUGUGAAAAUGGACAAGUACGUUGUGCAAUAGUUGAGUGUAAAAGUAAUCAUAUUUUGAGAUCACUAAGCACGGAAUAUGAAAAUCCCAUCUCCAGUGUUCAGUUAUUUACAUUAAAAAUGCCAGAGAUUCCUGUCGAUGAUAUCGAACAAUAUAUUCAAAAUGAUGAUUUAACAUUCUUAGAAAAGAACCCCGAAGUUAAUUUACUCGUUACGAACACACUGUUUCAUUCUGAAGUUUUCAUGGAUGUACUGAAGUAUGAUUUUAAAAAUCGACACUGCCUCCAUGAAAGCACUCUUUAUGAUGCUUGCUUGUGCUCGGUUAUAGCGGAUGUAGAUUUUGACGGCAAUAAAGAAAUAAUUUUAGGAACUUACGGCGAGGAAUUAUUGUUAUUUAAAUACGUCGAUAAUGAAACGUGGAAAAUGAUUGGGCAAAAGAGUAUCCCGAAUCCUGUCCAUAAAUUAUACUACGUUGACUUGACGGAAGAUGGUGUUAGCGAGCUGAUAACAGUAACUGCCAAAGGCCUCCACGUUUACCAGCUUAAAUCGUUUCAGCAUAAAUUGAAAGACGUUCACAAAUUGAUCAGCUCUAGAAUUGAGAAGUUGGAUAAAGAACGGUUGGAGGAAUUAAUUCUGAAAGAAAACUGGUCAUGAAGUAUAAGAAGUUGUAAACUGAAUCAAGCAUGCCUGUCAAAGACAUUUGUUUCGGAAUGAAAUCUGAACUUCCAUUUUCAUCAUAAAAAAAAUUUACGACUAGAAAAAUACGCGGCUCGAUUUUUGAUUUUAUGCCCCGUUAAAAGUACAUACAAUGGCGAUUUUCCACUGAAGUUUCAUGUACACGAAUUGUGUUUCGCCAAUUGGUUAUUUUGUAAGAAUCUAAAUAAUGGUCCAGGUCAAUGGUUAUUUGGAAAAUGUGGAGCUCGUCCAGAUACGUUUUCAAUCGACUAUUCUGCCUUAUGUGCACCACCAGAAGAACGCGAACCAUACGUGCCGGAUAAGAAAAGCAAUAGACAUUCGAUAAUUGUUUGAAAAAAAAUUAUCUCAAAAUUUUAUACAAAAACAUUAUUUAUUCAAAAUACGUCUACAAGAGUUGUAUGAUACAAGUUCAUUCAAAAAUUCAUCGAUAACAUAAAAAUGAUAGAGGAAUGUAAUGUACCUAAUUAAUUUUUAUUAAUAAAAGACAUUUUCGAUUUGUAAA